GUUAGGUUUUGAGUUAGGUUAGGUUUUGAGUUAGGUUAGGUUUUGAAAAAAAAAAGGUUUUGAGUUAGGUUAGGUUUUGAGUUAGGUUAGGUUUUGAGUUAGGUUAGGUUUUGAGUUAGGUUAGGUUUUGAGUUAGGUUAGGUUUUGAGUUAGGUUAGGUUUUGAGUUAGGUUAGGUUUUGAGUUAGGUUAGGUUUUGAGUUAGGUUAG